UACGAAGGGGGCUAGCGUUGCUCGGAAUCACUGGGCGUAAAGGGUGCGUAGGCGGGUCUUUAAGUCAGGGGUGAAAUCCUGGAGCUCAACUCCAGAACUGCCUUUGAUACUGGUAGUCUCGAGUCCGGAAGAGGUGAGUGGAAUUCCGAGUGUAGAGGUGAAAUUCGUAGAUAUUCGGAGGAACACCAGUGGCGAAGGCGGCUCACUGGUCCGGUACUGACGCUGAGACGCGAAAGCGUGGGGAGCGAACAGG
rnacentral:rRNA from 1 species